GCAUGCAGGGGUGUGAGCCAGAGACAGGGGAAGAGGCUGAAAGAGACAGAGAUAAGAGAAGCAAAAAAGAGGGGUGGAAGGGAGGGCAAGAGAUGGGAACGGGUGCUGGGGCAGGCAGCGAAGGGAGAAAGAUGGGAGGAGAUGUGGACGGAAAGGCUAAAGGCACACACGAUGGAACUCAUAAAGAUGCGAUGGUGCGAGAGCCUGAGGGAGGGAGGCAAGUUCUGGAGGAAGAGUUGGGGACAGACUGCGAUAAGAGUGAGGAGAGGUGAGGACGGGAAGAUGUCUGCAUUAGAGAGCUAAAUAAGCAGCAUGCAAGGUAUAAGCCAAACACAAUACUGCUGACUGUCCAUUACUUUGGGGUCAACAAUUUAGACACCUUCUGAGACGUCAUGAUCAAUGCCUUCAAGCGACUCUCCACUAACAGACCCCUACAAAUAUACACAUGAAACCCACAAAAGGAGAGACUGAGUCAUAGAAUAGAAAUCCGGAGGCCAGUGUACAUGUGGGAAUCCAGAUUUUAAGGGACCAGUGAUGGAGUAACCAGCCAAGUUUCUGAAGACCUAAGACUUAGCAUGGCAAGCUGGACUCUGCCUUUUCCCCCAGCCUUUCUUUAGGCUGAGGAAGUAGCUGAGCUCUGCAAAGACUAGCUCCCCCAAGCAACUCUCAGGACCAGGGGAGGCCCUAAGAACAUUAACUCAAGCAAUAUAAAGGAGAAAUGUUCUCCCCGCCCCACUCCCUGCCAGCCACAUUUAAGGUCCCAGAGGCCAGAUGUCUGGUUAUAGCUAGAGCCCAAGGAGUCUCUUUAGCAGCAGGAAGAGCCUUAUUACAGCUGGUUGGGCCUCCCAGAGCUAAACUCAGAGGCUGCAGGGCAACAACUGGGGUCAUUUACCUCUUUCGACACCCAUCCCAAAGAGGCACGGGUGGAUGGCCACCAGGGGACAGGAUCACAGG
rnacentral:lncRNA from 1 species